rnacentral:lncRNA from 1 species
GCUUCGCCCCUCCAAGUAGAAACGAAGCUACGAUCACCCCUUUUUCGCCGACAACUCUCCACCGACUCAACUAAUCGUCGAACCGUCUUCGUCGACGCGUUUACACACCUAGCAAUUAGGUUUACAUAUGAUCAAAUUAGAUCAAAACCUACUAUUUCCUAAAACCCCUAUUUUGGAGCCCUAGGUUGCAAUUAGUGCAAUCUACUCAAAUAAAACCCUAGAUACAUGCAAUUAGCAUCUACUUAGCACCAU